rnacentral:rRNA from 1 species
GAACGAUAGAUGAGAGCUUGCUCUCAUCGAAAGUGGCGCACGGGUGCGUAACGCGUAUGCAACCUACCUUUAUCAGGGGGAUAGCCCGGAGAAAUCCGGAUUAAUACCGCAUAAUAUCAUUUUAUAGCAUUAUAUUAUGAUCAAACAUUUAUGGGAUAAAGAUGGGCAUGCGUGUCAUUAGCUAGUUGGCGGGGUAACGGCCCACCAAGGCGACGAUGACUAGGGGAUCUGAGAGGAUGGCCCCCCACACUGGUACUGAGACACGGACCAGACUCCUACGGGAGGCAGCAGUAAGGAAUAUUGGUCAAUGGAGGCAACUCUGAACCAGCCAUGCCGCGUGCAGGAAGACUGCCCUAUGGGUUGUAAACUGCUUUUAUCCGGGAAUAAACCUACUUACGUGUAAGUAGCUGAAUGUACCGGAAGAAUAAGGAUCGGCUAACUCCGUGCCAGCAGCCGCGGUAAUAC